rnacentral:rRNA from 1 species
GACAGAGGCCUCGAGCGUUAGGCGGAAUCACUGGGCUUAAAGCGUGUGUAGGCGGAUCGUUAAGUGUCUUGUGAAAUCCCCACGGCUCACCCGUGGAACUGCUGGGCAUACUGGCGAUCUUGGGCCAUUCAGGGGCGACUGGAACAAGCGGUGGAGCGGUGAAAUGCGUAGAUAUCGCUUGGAACGCCGAAGGUGAAAACAGGUCGCUGGGGGAUGUGCCGACGCUGAGACACGAAAGCCAGGGGAGCAAACGGG